AUUGAACGCUGGCGGCAUGCUUUACACAUGCAAGUCGAACGGUAACAGGCCGCAAGGUGCUGACGAGUGGCGAACGGGUGAGUAAUGCAUCGGAACGUGCCCAGUCGUGGGGGAUAACGCAGCGAAAGCUGCGCUAAUACCGCAUACGAUCUGUGGAUGAAAGCGGGGGACCGAAAGGCCUCGCGCGAUUGGAGCGGCCGAUGUCAGAUUAGGUAGUUGGUGGGGUAAAGGCCCACCAAGCCAACGAUCUGUAGCUGGUCUGAGAGGACGACCAGCCACACUGGGACUGAGACACGGCCCAGACUCCUACGGGAGGCAGCAGUGGGGAAUUUUGGACAAUGGGCGCAAGCCUGAUCCAGCAAUGCCGCGUGCAGGAAGAAGGCCUUCGGGUUGUAAACUGCUUUUGUACGGAACGAAACGGCUCUGGCUAAUACCUGGGGCUAAUGACGGUACCGUAAGAAUAAGCACCGGCUAACUACGUGCCAGCCGCCGCCGUAAGAC
rnacentral:rRNA from 1 species